rnacentral:rRNA from 1 species
GCUUAUCACUCAUUCCAGAUUGAAUAUACCCGAUCUCGUCUGAUCUCGGAAGUCAAGCAAUCUCGGGCUUGGUGAGUACUUGGAUGGGUGACCGCUUGGUGAAUACCAAGUGUGAUAAGCA